rnacentral:rRNA from 1 species
UACGGGGGGGGCAAGCGUUGUUCGGAAUUACUGGGCGUAAAGGGUGCGUAGGCGGUGCUCUAAGUCGGAUGUGAAAACUCUGGGCUCAACCCAGAGCCUGCAUCCGAAACUGGAGUGCUAGAGUUCUGGAGGGGGUAGCGGAAUUCCUGGUGUAGCGGUGAAAUGCGCAGAUAUCAGGAGGAACACCGACGGCGAAGGCAGCACUCUGGGCCGGUACUGACGCUGAGGAGCGAAAGCAUGGGGAGCGAACAGG